CCUACGGGCGGCUGCAGUGAGGAAUAUUGGUCAAUGGACGAGAGUCUGAACCAGCCAAGUAGCGUGAAGGAUGACUGCCCUAUGGGUUGUAAACUUCUUUUAUAUGGGGAUAAAACGUUCCACGUGUGGGAUUUUGUAUGUACCAUAUGAAUAAGGAUCGGCUAACUCCGUGCCAGCAGCCGCGGUAAUACGGAGGAUCCGAGCGUUAUCCGGAUUUAUUGGGUUUAAAGGGAGCGUAGGUGGAUUGUUAAGUCAGUUGUGAAAGUUUGCGGCUCAACCGUAAAAUUGCAGUUGAAACUGGCAGUCUUGAGUACAGUAGAGGUGGGCGGAAUUCGUGGUGUAGCGGUGAAAUGCUUAGAUAUCACGAAGAACUCCGAUUGCGAAGGCAGUUCACUGGACUGCAACUGACACUGAGGCUCGAAAGUGUGGGUAUCAAACAGGAUUAGAUACCCCAGUAGUC
rnacentral:rRNA from 1 species